rnacentral:misc_RNA from 1 species
ACCACUAUUAUUGUGUGCCAUCAUCUAUCCUGAGUUCUUGCACAAUCACACAAAUAUGUCAAAUAUUUGAUCCUUCCAGUCACGCUCCUCUAUUACUAUCGAUCAUAGAAAGUUUAACUAAACGCUGUAAGGUUGGGGCUUCGGCAUGUCCUUCACUAAACCACAUAGCAAAGCGUUGUCAGGCAUGUUGUAUUCAUCCCUCAGAGAGCGCGCUGGAGAAAGAACACUCAUAUAAAGCUGUUGUCCCAGGUAGGUCCUCUCCCACAAUUCAGACCUUAGGUUCCACAUUCCAGCGUUGUCAAAUGUCAAGAAGAUUGCUGCCCACGAUUUAGGAAAUACCUGCACUGUGGUCCUGCUAACUGCGUCGAGAAGAUUGUAGUGAUUCCUCUUCUCGGGAGUCCAUGUGCCAGGCUCCACAGCGACUGUAAAGAAGGAAUACCCAUCCAAGUGCCAUGAUUGCAUGCUCUUCUCAGGAUUCUCAAAGAUGAUUUCCACAAAGUUUCGGAAAGUCAUGUUAAGGACGUUGGGCUGUGUCACAAUCUCGCCUGUUUUGGCAGGUGGGUGGUCAGGAAUGGUGUCGUACUUAAAAACCUUUUCUGCGAUCCCGUAAUACUCGGCUAGUUUGAGUGGGGUCUCUGGAUUAGUGUGAGAAACACCGUUGAUUGCAUAACGAAGCUUCCCUCCUGCCCCGCUGGCUGAGUUAACGAGUUUGAUAGUACGGGUGAUGUUGAUGGAUCCAUAAUGGUAGGAGCCCUGAGGAUUUGGCCUGGCAGCACUGGCUGUGAGAUUCCAGCGGAAGGAACGAAAUUGAUUGAGAGACCAAGCCC